AAUAAAGAAGAAAGAAAGAAAGAAAGAAAAAAAUGAACAAGAGAGAAAAGGAACGAAGGAACAAAGAGAACAAUGAGAAUGUGCGCGCACGCGCGUGCAGAUUACAUUGGUAUGAGUACGUAGGUGUGUUAACUGCACGUGUCAGAAACAGAGAGAGAGAAAGAGAGACACAGUGGGAGGGAGGAAGAGAGAGGAGGAACUAGAUGACGUAAGCUUCGAUUACACGCCGUUGCAUGGCGCGUACGGCGCACGACUGCAAAUCGCAUUCGCGUCAGCGCGUUCAUCGUACACACACGUAUCUGUUUUCAGUGCGUGUAAAUCUGUCGUUUAUCUUCUCUCUCUCUCUCUCUCUCUCUCUCUUUCUCUCUUUCUCUGUUUUUCUUUUUGUAAAACGUAUAUGUAUGCGUGCUUACACGUAUGAAGGACGAGGCCUUCAAGCAGGCACGUAACACUCGCGUAUCUCUCUUCGCUUCUUCGUGUAUCAACCAUAUAUGUAUAUAUAUAUACAUAUAUAUAUAUGCUGUUAGAUUGCCGUCAGCUGACAAGAUGAGAACAAGUCUAGAAACAGGAAAAGACCUUCUACUUCUUCUUUGAGAUAUUACUUUUAAGAGAAAUGAGAAGACAUGUCCUAAGGAAUUUUUCAUUCAACUCUUCAUGGAAAUUAGACGAGAGAGAGAAAGAGAGAGAGAGAGAGAGAGAAAGAGAGAGAGGGGGGUUAACCUAACCAAACUUAAGACAUGUUUCAUAAUUUUACGAAAAUUGUGGAUAUAUGUACCUAACCUUACUUUCUAGUUUGAAAAGUAAAUGUUUUUAUGGUGAACUCGUAGAGACACCUAACCUCACUUUGUUAGUUCGAAAGUUAAACUACAGUCGUAAAACGCAGGAAGAAGAUUUCUCUGGAACAAAUAAAAGUGACGCCCGUCCCUCAUGGAUGUACGAAUCCUUUCUCCCUUUCCCUUCCCCAACCCUCUCCUUCACUUUCUUCCACGAAGGAAAACAAUUACUAUUGGAGGAACGGACGACGAUGAGAACGACGAUGAAAACGACGAUGAGAACGACAACUACGAAGACGACAAUGAUGACGGUGGUAAAACAGCUGUCGCCUUGACCUUACUCAAUACGCUUCUCGCCACGAUAUAUCGUGACUGCCAUUUCUUCACGUUCUCUUUCUCAGUCGAUGUAUAAAUCCGCUUUAAACGACUUUACUCUCUAUGAAACCUCGAUAUAUAACGUUGAAAAUAAAUUCCGCAGUUAAUCCUCGUAGUAAAGGGAUAAAUCACAAACGUGUCGAAUUUAAUUGAUUCCUAUGUAUGUAUGUAUGUAUGUAUGUAUGUAUGUAUGUAUGUAUGUAUGUAUGUAUGUAUGUAUAUAUGUAUGUAUGUAUAAUGUGUGUGUGUGUGUGUGUGUGUGUAUACAGCAACCACCAACCAACCUGUUGCACAUCAUACUCCCUCCUGUCCUAAUAAAUAAUAAAAGUAAAAACUCUUCAAUAUUUGUCAUGUACCAACCAAACGUCAUCGUGGAAUUUAAAAGGAAAAAGAAGAAAAAAAAAAAAAAAAGAAAAAAGAGAAAGAAGACAGGAAAAAAGAUAAAUCUAAAAGAGGAAUA